rnacentral:rRNA from 7 species
GAUUCCAUCAUUCUAAGCGGUGGAUCACUAGGCUCGCGGGUCGAUGAAGAACGGGGCCAGCCCCGAGAAUAAGUGCGAAUUGCAGACACAAAGAGCAUCGACUUUUCGAACGCAUAUUGCGGUAUCGGGCCCGCUCGAUACCACGCCUAUCUGAGGGUCGAAU